rnacentral:pre_miRNA from 13 species
AAUGGGACGGGAUUGGGGACCACCCUGUGUUUACUGACUGAGUGCAACCGUGAACACAGCUGGUGGUAUCUCAGUUUCUUCUCAUUG